CAGAAACCCUACAAGAAAACCUACGCAAUAUCAUUCAGGAAAGAGGCAUGAGCAAAGACUUCAUGACUAAAACGCAAAAAGCAAUAGCAACAAAAGCCAAAAUAGACAAAUGGGAUCUAAUUAAACUAAAGCACUACUGCACAGCAAAAGAAA